CCGAGCGCGGGACCGGGGGCGCCCCGAGCCCGGGCCUCACAAAGGGAGCGGAAGGCCGGAGCCCCGGGCCUUCAGGGCGGCCGCUCUCCUGCGGAGUCGAAGCCGGGAACCGAACCCUCGCUCGCUGCGGUGGCGGAGGUGCAGACUGAAAUCGGGAGACUAGUUUUCACUUGGGCUCAGAUGCUGCUUUGCGUUAUGAAAUAAAACUUAGCUGAGAGUUGGAGGGAAGGGGGUUGGUCUAAUGAGCUUGAACGGACACCGCAGUUCCUCUCUCCUUCCUCCUGCAGACACACAGGCGCAAGCUGUGCGGCAGUUUGUCACCUGUCUUUCCUGCUGAUAAUUUGAGACUGAGACCCAAAUAGGAGAAGUAACAAGGGAAGUGAAGAGAGAUCUGGAGGGGAAUGCGCACUUGGAUUAGGGGUCUGCACGUCUGGACCCGGCUUCCCCCAUCCCACCCACUCCCUGUGAUUUCCCGUUCGCCCCUCACGGAACUGCUGAGCGGACGCAAAGACGGGUCUAGGAUGCAUGUGUGUAAAUACGGCCUGGAAGCUAUCGAGUCUCUACAGAUCCAAGGUGACCAUUUGGGAAAAGUGUCCUGUCCGCCUCCACUACGUCAUUAGCAUGUGUCUCCUCCUUUGACUUCCCUGGACCCCCCAAAUGCAGACCACCACAGAAUGCUUUCCUUCCUCUCCUGCAACAACCAGCUAUCUAUGGGCACAUGCGCAGAAUCGUGUGUCUAGAAGAUUCCUCACUGAAGCACUAUUCGUGGUAGCAAAAGAUUGGAAACAGCCCAUCAAGAAUGUCC